CUGCCAUUAUAAGAGAAGGAUUAUCCUUUAAUUUCAGUUCUAUAUAUCUCACAUUGACCGUCAUUUUCGAUCAAAAGUCAACUAUAGGUACCGAGGCCUAAAUAUUCGGUACAUGGGGGCUUGAACAGUUUUUAUUGGAUUUAAACAAUAUUUUUGGUCAUAAGAUGGUACACACUAAAGACAUCAUUCGACUGGUGCGUUAGAAUCUGCUAUCUUUAUCGAUUUUCCAGUGAGUAUUUCAUGACAUUUCAUAUAUUGGUAGUGAAGGUAUUGCGUUUUAAGUGUCGGUAUGUUUGUGUUAUCGGUGCGAAAAUGAGCUUCGAACAAAGAGCCAACAUUAAAUUUUGUUUUAAAAUUGGUAAAACUUUUACCGAAACGUUUCAAUUGAUAAAACAAGUUUAUGGCGAUGAUUGCCUAUCCCGUAGCAAAGUACACCAGUGGUUUCAACGUUUUCAAAGUGGUCGUGAGGACAUAAAUAACGAUCAACAUGUGGGCCAAUCAAAAUCUGUGAUCACCGCAAAUUCCAUCGAAUCUAUGCAUGAAUUCAUCAAAAAUCAACCGAAAUCAUCAUUGAAUUUCAUGGAAAUAGAAUCGAACAUCUCCAAAACAUCGAUUUAUCGCAUUUUGACCGAAUCUUUGGGCUUACGAAGAGUGUGUUCACGGUUUGUCCGCACAAAUUGACUGACGAUCACAAAUUACUCAGAAUCCAACAUUCGAAGGACAUCAUUAUGACCGAUUAUUUUACCAAAAAUCACGUUUAACCAUUAACCACUCCCCGUAUUCACCUGAUAUGGCAUCGUGCGACUUCUUCCUUUUUGGAAAAAUGUAUUUGCCCGUGAAAGAAAAGUGUUAUGCAGACUUCGAAGAAAAUUAUGCUAAUUGUGUAAAACGAUGAUUUCAAAAGACACACUUUCUUUGCUAUCAUGGAUUUAAUUCUUGCGGACAUCACGAUAAGGUUAUUGUAUCAUUUUUUUGGCUCUAUCCAAAAAUAUAACUAAAAGACGUUUAGGUUGCUGCGUUCACGUUCGCUGAAAAAUAUCCUGCUGAUAUUUUUAAAGAAAUAUCGACUUGGAUAAUCCACUUAAAAAACUUGUAUUAGGGUAAUUUUGCCGACAGUUCUACUUAUGUAUAUCUAAUCUGUCCCCAUUUGACUUAUUGAGAAUAAGUGCAUUUCUUUGAGUACCGAGUCAUCAUUCAUUCGUUUUGUCAAGAAUAAUCGUUCAACCUAAAAUCGGGUGUUAGGACUAACUUAUGUUUGAAAUCUGAACAGCUAAAGCAAGGAAUACAAACUUUUAAACACCUUCUGUGAUUGAAUAAAAAAAAUUUAUGUAAAUUUAAUAUUUGAUAAGAAUCUCUUAUUUUUCAAAUAUGCUUCAAUGUUUCUUCUGAAAUUCGUGAUUUGUGUAUGGGACAAUGAUAGAAACAUAUUGAAUUUAAAAUUUUUUUACAUAGGAAGCAGGAGUGGUUUUCGUCAAAUUUCGCCCAUUUUUCCACAGUGAUGUAGGAAUGUCAGUCCGCCAUUAUCUUGUUGCAGCUAAAAUUCGCACCCGCCUCUGUGCAAAUUAAAACACACGUCAAGAAACACAAGAAAAGUCCGACGUCGAGAAGCUACAAUCACAACAGACAGCCGAGCGAUUUUCUACUCGACUUGCAUUCCUGCCCUCUGAGAACACUCAUCAACACCUCGGUAGAAGGGAACUGUAGAACGGCAUUUUAAGCUUCUUACGUACAGCUGCAACCGAAAUCAAUGGUAAAAUUAUGGAGAGAAGACUUCUCGAGCCUGCUGAAAGGCAGUGAAAGUAUAACGCCAGGAGAAGGCCAACCCGAUUUCCCAAUCGAUGACGAUGGAGCAGACAUUCCAUUACCAGACCAUGAAGAACUUCGAAUAGCAAUUACUCGUCUGAAGAACAAUGAGGCGGCGGGGGCCGAUGGAUUGUCGGCCGAGCUAUUAAAACACGGCGCCUGUGUUCUGCCUUAGGCUACGUUUAUGACCGAGCGGACUCGCGUCGCGCGAUGCGAUGAAAAUCGCUUCUAGCGAUCAAAUACAUACAUAAAUCCAUUCGGAGGUGCUUAUCGUGCAGCGAUUUAGCGAAAAGCGGUUUCAGCGAAAAUGGAGCGACUGCUAGCAACGAAAAUCAGCGAUCAAAAUUUUUGAUUCAGUUGAGCGAAUCGCGUUAAACACAAUGGACAAAUUUAUUGAAAAGGUGCGAAAUAAAGAAUGUUUGUGGAAUCUGCGUCAUCCAGAUUAUCAUAAUAGAAACAAAAUCAGAAAAGCUUGGGAAGAAGUAGAAAAAGAAUGCAGUUUGGAAGCUGGCUCUGGUGCAAAAAAAUGGAAAAACUUGAAAGACACCUAUUGGAGAGAACUUCGUAAGGAAACUGUGGUGGCUUCAGGCAGCGCUGCAAUGCCGCAUUCAAAACGGACACAUUUUAAGGAUAAGUGUUUUUAACAAGAUAUUAUGGAAUCGCGCUCCAUGUCAGGUAACUUGAUCAAUGAAACAAGUUGUGAUGAAUUGGUGGAACUUGAUGAUGAAGAUAAAUCGGAAACUCCUGAAUCCAUAAAAUUGAUGCAGCCUACACCUAAAAAAUCAAAGAAAAAACUUACAGAAAGCUCAGCGUUUUUGGAGUAGGAGGAAAAGAAUCUUAAGCUUCUAGAAAAAAGCAACGAUGAAGAGGAUGAUGAUUACCAUUUUCUUAUGAGUUUCAAAAAGUACAUGAAAAAUAUGGGUGAAGAAACAAAAAAUAAAAUUUCGCAUAAAAAUGCAGGAGGUUCUGUACGACAUUAUGUACGGCAGAGAUAAUCAGGAAUCGGCUACGCCAGUUUCUUUUAUUAGUUAUGUGAGUAGCAGCCCAAAUAUUGAAACGCAGGAUUCAAACAGCUUCAUUUUUCCAAAUGCGCAAAAUUUUAAUUAAGCUACUUAAUAUUAAUGUGUGUAAUAUUAUAUUAAAUACAUACUUACAUAUGUAAGUGAACAAGUAUAAAUAUUGAAAUUGAAUAAAAAUUUAUGGAAUGGA